rnacentral:rRNA from 1 species
GUGUGCGAUCAUACCAGCACUAAUGCACCGGAUCCCAUCAGAACACCGAAGUUAAACGUGCUUGGGUUAGAGUAAUACUAAGAUGGGUGACCUCUUGGGAAGUCCUCGUGUUGCACCUC